AGUGAACGCUGGCGGUAGGCCUAACACAUGCGAGUCGAACGGCAGCACAGUAAGAGCUUGCUCUUACGGGUGGCGAGUGGCGGACGGGUGAGGAAUACAUCGGAAUCUACUUUUUCGUGGGGGAUAACGUAGGGAAACUUACGCUAAUACCGCAUACGACCUACGGGUGAAAGCAGGGGAUCUUCGGACCUUGCGCGAUUGAAUGAGCCGAUGUCGGAUUAGCUAGUUGGCGGGGUAAAGGCCCACCAAGGCGACGAUCCGUAGCUGGUCUGAGAGGAUGAUCAGCCAGACUGGAAGUGAGACACGGUCCAGACUCCUACGGGAGGCAGCAGUGAGGAAUAUUGGACAAUGGGCGCAAGCCUGAUCCAGCCAUACCGCGUGGGUGAAGAAGGCCUUCGGGUUGUAAAGCCCUUUUGUUGGGAAAGAAAAGCAGCAGGUUAAUACCCCGCUGUUCUGACGGUACCCAAAGAAUAAGCACCGGCUAACUUCGUG
rnacentral:rRNA from 1 species